AGGGAGCUGGAACGCUAGCGGGGCACAGAGCCAAACCUUCCCAGGACCGGCAGGUCAGAGCCAGCUGCUCACGGGCCACUUUGACAGUGGCGAGGCCACCAAAGGAGAAGAGCAAUGGGAUCCUGCUUCCUCCAGGUGGGGGAGGAAUACAGCUUUGUCGGAGGAGAUACGGAGGAGAUACGUGUCUGGAAUGCGCCGGCUCUGGGGGAGGAGGAAGGAAUGUCUUAGGAGGCGAGACGCUGCAGGGGUCCCAGGCUCCUUCCAUCAUGUAGUGCUGCCAUCUUCAACAUGUGACCUCAUGGGACGCCUGGAUGGCUCAGCGGUUGAGCGUCUGCCUUCGGCUCAGGGUGUGAUCCCGGGGUCCCACGUCGGGCUCCCCGCAGGAAGCCUGCUUCUCCCUCUGCCUGUGUCUCUUCCUCUCUCUCUGUCUCUCAUGAAUAAAUAAAUAAAAUCUUUAACGACAA
rnacentral:lncRNA from 1 species